rnacentral:tRNA from 1 species
GAGGGUAUAGCUCAAGUGGUAGAGCAUAUGCUUAACAUGUGUGAGGUCCUGGAUUCAAUCCCCAGUACCUCCU